rnacentral:rRNA from 1 species
GGUUGCGAUCAUACCAGCACUAAUGCACCGGAUCCCAUCAGAACUCCGCAGUUAAGCGUGCUUGGGCGAGAGUAGUACUAGGAUGGGUGACCCCCUGGGAAGUCCUCGUGUUGCAACGC